rnacentral:lncRNA from 1 species
GCUCUUCUCCCAGGUUCCCUCUGAUGCGGCUUUCCCCUUCCCCGCCCCUAGAGUAUUGCUCCCUUCCUCUGCGACAGCUUUGUUUUCUGGUCUCCCAGGCAGUCUCUGCCCUGUCAAAUGGUUUAGAGACCUCCCAAGCAGUUUCCGCUCUUCCCCGCCCCCCUAGCCCGGGGACUAAUCUCUGGAGCCGAGGUCUCGGUGCCCAGCCCCACCCAGGUGUCCCCCGGCCCUUUCUUGGGGACUAACCUUCGGAGGCGAGGUCUCGGUGCCCAGCCCCCACCCAGGCGUCUCAAUUUUUGGUGACUGUGCCCGUAGUUCAGAUGGUCCGUUGGGUUCUUGAUCGGUUUUUCCGUACUCCGACUUACUGCUACACUCUUCUCUGCAUCUGGGGAUUCCUCCGGUUCGUUUGAUCUUUCGCCCGGUAGGUAGGUGACUUUCCAGGGUGCGAGAUCCCUUUCUCCUCCGCAGUUCCCUUUCGGGAGCGCCCGUCCUGCUGGGAUUCACCUUCUCUCACUCUCCUCUUUUCUCCUGUUCUGCCCAAUAAUGUCACGAACUUCUUGCCGUUAUUGGAGUUUAGGUUCCUCUGCCAGCAAUUGGUUGCUGUUCUGUGCGAGUCAUUUCUUCUGUAGAUGUGCUUUUUUUUGUUGUGUUUGUGGGAGAGGGCGAGCGUGUCCCCCUACUCCUCCGCCAUCUUGUCCUCUCUCUCCUCACUGUAAUUUUGAUUUACAUUUCUCUAAUAAUUAGCAAUAUUAGACAUUUUUUUACAGUUUGAUAACUUUAUUUAUUUUUAGGUGCUAUUCUUAUUCCUAUUUUAUUUUAUAUUACUCAAUGAAUUUAUUACAUUUAGAGUUGUUCAAUGAUCGUAACAACCCAAUUUUAUAGCAUUUCCAUCCCAAACCCCCAGUGCAUCCCCCUACCCCCCAAACUGUCUCCUUUGAAAACCAAAAGUUUUUCAAAGUCUGUGAGUCAGCACAUCUGUUCUGCAAAGUUCAUUGUGUCCUUUUUUCAGAUUCUACAUGUAAGUGAUAGCAUUUGAUGUUGGUGUCUCAUUGUCUGACUGACUUUACUUAGUAUAAAAACUUCUAGAUCCAUCCAUGUUGCUACAAAUGCCAUUAUUUCUUUCCUUUUGAUGGCUGAGUAAUACUCCAUUGUGUGUGUGUACCACAUCUUCUUUAUCCACUCCUCUGUUGAUGGACAUUUAGGUUGUUUCUGUGUCUUGGCUACUGCAAAUAGUGCUGUAAUGAACAUCAGAGUACAUGUGUCUUUUCAAGUCAUGGUUUUCUCUGGAUAGAUUUCCAGGAGUGGGAUUGCUGGAUCAAAUGGUAGUUCUAUUUUUAGUUUUCUGAGGAAUGUCCAUACUGUUUUCCACAGUGGUUGCACCAAUUAUAUUCCCACCAACAGUGUAAUAGGGUUCCUUUUUUCUCCACACCCUCUCCAGCACUUGUUUGUAGACUUUUUGAUGAUGGCUAUUCUGGCUGCUGUAAGGUGGUACCCCAUAGUGGUUUUGAUUUUCAUUUCUCUAAUGAUGAGUGGCAUUUUUUGAUGAGCUUACUGGCCAUCCAUGUGUCUUCUUUGUAGAAAUAUCUAUUUAAAUCUUUUGCACAUUUUUCAAUUAUUGUUCUUGUUGUUGUUUUGUUGUAUGAGUUGUUUGUGAAUUUUGGAGAUUAAGCCCUCAUCCGUUCCAUCACUUGCAACUAUUUUCUCCCAUUCUGUAGAUGGUCUUCAUUUUUUAUGAUUUACUUUGCUGUGCAAAAGACUGUGAGUUUGAUUAGGUCCCAUUUCUUUGUUUUUAAUCUCUAUUGCCUUCAGAGACUGAUCUAAGAAAACAUUUUUACAAAUUAUGGCAGAAUAUCUGGCAUAUGCUCUCUUCUAGGGUGUCUUAUGUUUAAGUUUUUAAGCAAUUUUGGGUUUAUUUUUGUGCAUGGUGUGAAGGUGUGUCCUAGUUUCAUUGAUUUACAUGACACUGUCCAGUUUUCCCAGCACCACCUGCCGAAAAGAUUGUCUUUUUCCCAUUUUAUAGUCUUGCCUCCUUUGUCAGAGAUUAAUUGACUGUGGGUGUCUCUAUUUAUUUCUGGGCUUUCUGUUCUGUUCUAUUGAUCCAUGUGUAUGUUUUUGUACCAAUAUCACACCAUCUUGAUUACUGUAGCUUUUUAAUAUUGUCUGACAUCUGGAAGAGUAUUGUCUCCUAUUUUUUCCCCCCUCAGAAUUGCUUUGGCAAUUCUGGGUCUUUUAUAGUUCCAUACAAAUCCUUAGAACAAUCUGUAAUUGUUCUAGCUCUGUGAAAAAUGUCAUGGGUAAUUUGAUAGGGAUUGCAUUAAAUCUGUAGAUUGUUUUGGGUAGUAUGGCCAUUUUAAAAAUAUUAAUUCUUCUGGGAGAAUGGGAUAUCUUUCCAUUUCUUUUAUUAUUUUUUCAUUAAUAAAGGAAUCCAUUUAGUUUCCUUUAUUAUUGUUUUAUAGUUCUCAGUAUAUAAGUCUUUCACUUCCUUCGUCAGGUAUUUUAUUUUCAGAGUUUGAUUUUAGAAGUUAUUUUUUAUAUUCCUUUUCUAACAGUUCAUUGUUAAUACACAGAAAUGCAACUGAAUUCUGAAUGUUAAUCCUUUAUCCUGCUACUUUGCUGAAUCCAUUGAUCAGUUAGAAGAGUUUUUGUGUAGAGUCCUUCAGGUUUUCUAUAUAUAGUAUCAUGUUAUCUGCAUAGAGUAACAAUUUUACCUCUUGUUUUCCAAUUUGGAUACCUUUUAUUUCUUUUAUUUGUUCUGAUUGCUGUGGCUAGGAUUUACAACACUAUGCUGAAUAAAAGUGGUGAGAGUGGGCAUCCUGUGUCUUGUUCCAGAUUUUAGUGGGAAGGCUUUCAGUUUUCUCCAUUGAGUAUUAUAUUGGCUGUGGGUUUGUCAUAAAUGGCUUUGAUUAUGUUAAGGUAUGUUCCCUCUAUACCCACUUUUUUUAAGAGUUUUUAUCGUGAAUGGAUGUUGGAUUUUGUGAAAUGCUUUCUCUCAUCUAUUGAGAUGAUCAUGUGGUUUUUGAGCUUUCUGUUGUUAAUGUGAUAUAUGAUGUUGAUUGAUUUGUGUAUACUGAACCAUCCUUGUGAACUUGGGAUGAAUCCCACUUCAUAAUGGUGUAUGAUCUUUUUUAUGUGUUGUUGAAUUCCAUCGGCUAAAAUUUUUUUGAAAAUUUUUGUGUCUAUGUUCAUUAAAGACAGUGGCUUCUAAUUUUCUUUGGUAGUAUCUUUGUCUGGUUUUUGUGUUAGGGUGAUAGAAUGUCUUUAGGAGUCUUCUUUCUUCUUUGAUCUUUUGGAAAAAUUUAAGAAGGAUGGGUAUCAGUUCUUGGUAUGUUUGGCAGAAUUCGCCUGUGAAGCCAUCUGGUCCUGGACUUUUGUUUGUAGGGAGUUUUUUUUAUUAUAUAUUCAAUUUCAUUUCUAGUGAUUGGUGUGUUCAAUUGAUAUAUUUCUUUUUUGUCUGAAAUAGACUGUGAUUUCCAUUCACAUGAAAACUUUUUCUAUCCCCUCACUUUUAAUUUAUAUAUGACCUCUGCCCUCAGCUGAAUUUCUUGUAGGCAACAUAUUGUACACUCUUAUUUUUUUUUCAAUCCAAUCUGCCACUCUUUGUCUUUUGAUGGAACAUUCAGUCCAUUGACAUUUAAGGUAAUUAGUGAUAAAUAUAUAUAUAUUGCCAUUUUAAACCUUCUUUUCCAGUCGAUUCUGUGUUUCUCCUUUAUUCCUUUCUUUUUUUGGUUGGCUGACUUCCUUUUAUUUUAUGCGUGUGUCCUCUUCUUUUUAGUUUCUGUGAAUAUAUUGUUUGGUUUUGAUUUGUGGUUGCCCAGUUUUUCAUGUAUGUUAACCCCUCCUACAUCUGUUUGCUUUAGCCUGAUAGUCAUACAGGCUCAAACACAUUCU